ensembl:lncRNA
AAAAUUACCCCAUGAUUUACUCACCCUCAAGCCAUAGGUGGAUAUGGCUUUAUUCUUUUAGACGAACACAGUCGGAGUUAUAAUUGACUGAAACCUGGCUAAAACCAAAAUUGACUGAAACCUGGCUAAAACCAAAUGAUUUUAUUGGUCUAAAUGAGUCUACUCCACCAAACUACUGUUAUAAACAUGAGCCCCGUCAGACUGGUUGUGGGGGAGGUGUUGCAACAAUAUAUAGUGAUAUUCUCAAUGUUACCCAGAAAACAGGAUACAGGUUUAAAUCAUUUGAAAUACUUAUGCUUAAUGUUACACUGUCAGAUAUGCAAAAGAAAUCUAUUAUAUCUCUUUCUCUGGCUACUGUGUAUAGACCACCAGGGCCAUAUACAGAAUUCCUAAAAGAAUUUGGAGAUUUCCUCUCAGACCUGUUGGUUACCGCUGAUAAAGCGCUAAUUUUCGGAGAUUUUAACAUUCAUAUUGAUAAUACAAAUGAUGCAUUAGGACUUGCGUUUACUAACUUAUUAAACUGUUUUGGAGUAAAGCAAAAUGUCACCGGGCCCACUCAUCGUUUUAAUCAUACGCUAGACUUAAUUAUAUCGCAUGGAAUCGAUCUUACUGACAUAGAUAUCGUACCUCAAAGUGAUGAUGUUACUGACCAUUUCCUUGUAUCAAGCAUUCUGCGAACUGAUGAUAUUAACUAUACGGCUUCACAUUAUCGUCCGAGCAGAACUAUUGUUCCAGCCACCAAAGACAGAUUCGCAAAUAACCUGCCUGAUUUAUCUCAACUGCUCUGUGUACCCAUAAACACACAUGAACUAGACAAAAUGACUGGCAAUAUGGGCACUAUCUUCUCUAAUACAUUAGAAGCUGUUGCCCCCAUCAAAUUGAAAAAGGUUAGAGAAAAACGUACUGUGCCAUGGUACAACAGUAAUACCCACGCUCUCAAGAAAGAAACUCGUAGUCUUGAGCGCAAAUGGAGAAAAACUAACUUGGAAGUUUUUAGAAUAGUGUGGUUAAGACCNNNNNNNNNNNNNNN